rnacentral:rRNA from 1 species
CCUGGCUCAGGAUGAACGCUAGCUACAGGCUUAACACAUGCAAGUCAGGGGCAGCAUGUUGGUUGCUUGCAACCAAUGAUGGCGACCGGCGCACGGGUGAGUAACGCGUAUCCAACCUUCCCCUUAGUAGGGCAUAGCCCGUAGAAAUGCGGAUUAAUACCCUAUGUUGUAUAUUGAGGACAUCUGAUUUAUACCAAAGGUUUACCGCUAAGGGAUGGGGAUGCGUCUGAUUAGGUUGUUGGCGGGGUAACGGCCCACCAAGCCGACGAUCAGUAGGGGUUCUGAGAGGAAGGUCCCCCACAUUGGAACUGAGACACGGUCCAAACUCCUACGGGAGGCAGCAGUGAGGAAUAUUGGUCAAUGGACGAGAGUCUGAACCAGCCAAGUAAGCGUGCAGGAUGACGGCCCUAUGGGUUGUAAACUGCUUUUAUACGGGGAUAAAGUGACCCACGUGUGGGUUUUUGUAGGUACCGUAUGAAUAAGGACCGGCUAAUUCCGUGCCAGCAGCAGC